GAGGAAUCACCACUGCAUCAUGAAUAUCAUGCAUAUUAAUGAACAGCAGAUAAAAAGGACCAAGAAUCAACAAGACACUUUCAUGAAACACACGUUCAUGACAAAUUUAGAAGUAAAAGUGUGCAGCAAUGGAUGUAUUCCUGCAGUUUUUCUGGCAGAUGUCACCUCAGUCUCAUGCCCUAUUAAUCAACAGCAUGGGGCUUUUCAUUCUUUAUGUUUAAGUGUGACUUUCCAUCAUCAUUUGGUGAAGUCCUGCUUACACCACAUGUAACCCGGUAAAAGUUUCAAACAAGGUUAAUGGUUUAUUCUGGUUCAUUUGUUUAUGGAAUUAAGUUUAAAAAGUGAAGCUUUUUGACAUUCAACAUUCAACAGAGAGAAAGGAAUUAAAAGAGACAUUCAGAAAAUAUACGUUUUGGAUUGUUAGUUCUGAAAUGCUGACUUUGGGGACAGGAAUUGUGGCAGGGAGUGGUGUAUGUGGCAAGGUGUACCUUCACUCUGUUUCCAUCUGUCACACUCUCUGACACUGAGAUCGGUCUUAGAGAAGGCAAGACGACAAGAGAGACAAUAAUUAAACCUACUUGUAAAGGCUGAUACAACACUG